rnacentral:rRNA from 1 species
UACGUAGGAUGCAAGCGUUAUCCGGAAUGAUUGGGCGUAAAGCGUCCGCAGGCGGCGAUGUAAGUCUGCUGUUAAAGAGUGAGGCUCAACCUCAUAAGAGCAGUGGAAACUACAUAGCUAGAGUACGUUCGGGGCAGAGGGAGUUCCUGGUGUAGCGGUGAAAUGCGUAGAGAUCAGGAAGAACACCAGUGGCGAAGGCGCUCUGCUAGGCCGUAACUGACACUGAGGGACGAAAGCUAGGGGAGCGAAUGGG